rnacentral:rRNA from 1 species
GCGCUUAUUUUUAAUAGGAGCGGCAGACGGGUGAGUAACGCGUGGGAAUCUACCUUUUUCUACGGGAUAACGCACGGAAACGUGUGCUAAUACCGUAUACGCCCUGAGAAGGGGAAAGAUUUAUUGGAGAGAGAUGAGCCCGCGUUAGAUUAGCUAGUUGGUGGGGUAAAGGCCUACCAAGGCUACGAUCUAUAGCUGGUCUGAGAGGACGAUCAGCCACACUGGGACUGAGACACGGCCCAGACUCCUACUGGAGGCAGCAGUGGGGAAUAUUGGACAAUGGGGGCAACCCUGAUCCAGCCAUGCCGCGUGAGUGAAGAAGGCCUUAGGGUUGUAAAGCUCUUUCGCCGGAGAAGAUAAUGACGGUAUCCGGAGAAGAAGUCCCGGCUAACUUCGUGCCAGCAGCCGCGGUAAUACGAAGGGGGCGAGCGUUGUUCGGAAUAACUGGGCGUAAAGGGCGCGUAGGCGGGUAAUUAAGUUAGGGGUGAAAUCCCAAGGCUCAACCUUGGAACUGCCUUUAAUACUGGUUAUCUAGAGUUCAGGAGAGGUGAGUGGAAUUCCGAGUGUAGAGGUGAAAUUCGCAGAUAUUCGGAGGAACACCAGUGGCGAAGGCGGCUCACUGGCCUGAUACUGACGCUGAGGCGCGAAAGCGUGGGGAGCAAACAGGAUUAGAUACCCUGGUAGUCCACGCUGUAAACGAUGAGUGCUAGCUGUUGGGUGGUUUACCAUUCAGUGGCGCAGCUAACGCAUUAAGCACUCCGCCUGGGGAGUACGGUCGCAAGAUUAAAACUCAAAGGAAUUGACGGGGGCCCGCACAAGCGGUGGAGCAUGUGGUUUAAUUCGAUGCAACGCGCAGAACCUUACCAGUCCUUGACAUAUAGAGGACGAUAUCAGAGAUGGUAUUUUCUUUUCGGAGACCUUUAUACAGGUGCUGCAUGGCUGUCGUCAGCUCGUGUCGCGAGAUGUUGGGUUAAGUCCCGCAACGAGCGCAACCCCUACCUCUAGUUGCCAUCAAGUUUAGAUUUUAUCUAGAUGUUGGGUACUUUAUAGGGACUGCCGGUGAUAAUCCGGAGGAAGGUGGGGAUGACGUCAAGUCCUCAUGGCCCUUAUGGGCUGGGCUACACACGUGCUACAAUGGUGGUUACAAUGGGUUGCGAAGUCGCGAGGC